rnacentral:rRNA from 1 species
AUGGUGGUGGACCCCGCCGGCGGGGGCACCUCCAUGCGCGCCGCCAUCUUCCCCUGCCCCGACUGCGGCGACGUCUUCGUCCGGGCCGAGAGCCUCCACCUCCACCAGGCCACCCGCCACGCAGUGUCGGAGCUGGGGCCGGAGGACACGAGCCGGAACAUCAUCGAGAUCAUCUUCCAGUCGAGCUGGCUCAAGAAGCAGACCCCGGUGUGCGCCGUGGACCGCAUCCUCAAGGUGCACAACGCGCCGGCCACCCUCGCCCGCUUCGAGGCCUACCGCGACGCCGUCAAGGCCAGGGCGCGCGGGGGGCGCCCCGGCGCCGGCCGAUGCACCGCCGACGGCAACGAGCUGCUCCGCUUCCACUGCGCCGCGCUCUCGUGCUCCCUCGGCGCGGGGGGCGCCACCCACCUCUGCGACGGCGCCGGCAACUCCUCCUGCGCCGCGUGCGGGAUCGUUCGCGACGGGUUCAAGUUCAGGGCGCCCGGGGUCCGGACCAUGGCCACCAGCGGCCGCGCGCACGACGAUGCCGUGGCCGUGGGUGGGGAGGAGGGGGAGGGCGGCGGAGGAGAGCAGCGCAGGGCCAUGCUCGUGUGCCGGGUCAUCGCCGGGCGGGUAAAGCGCCGCUGCGAGGGCACGGCGGAGACGGCGGGCAAGGAGGAGGAUGCAGAAGCAGAGGAGGAGUACGACUCGGUGGCGGGGACGGCGGGGGUGUACUCGAGCCUGGACGAGCUGGAGGUGUUGAACCCCACCGCCAUCCUCCCCUGCUUCGUCGUCGUCUACAAGGCUUGA